rnacentral:rRNA from 1 species
UACGUAGGGGGCAAGCGUUACCCGGAUUUACUGGGUGUAAAGGGGGCGCAGACGGCGAUGCAAGCCAGGAGUGAAAGCCCGGGGCCCAACCCCGGGACUGCUCUUGGAACUGCGUAGCUGGAGUGCAGGAGGGGCAGGCGGAAUUCCUGGUGUAGCGGUGAAAUGCGUAGAUAUCAGGAGGAACACCGGUGGCGAAGGCGGCCUGCUGGACUGCAACUGACGUUGAGGCCCGAAAGCGUGGGGAGCAAACAGG